GUUUCUUUAGGCGUGUCUUCCGUGCUCUCGUUUUCAUGAUCAUUUAUGAUCUUAUGUUAGUUUUGUCUAAUUUUAAUAGGCUACAUUAUGGACAUUCUUACCUGUAUUUCUAUGUCAAUACUUAUGAUGGUCGCUGAUGGCCUCAUUGUGCACGGUCCCGCUGGCCCUCUGUUUGCUCCUAUGGGAUCUUCAGUGGUCUUGCCCUGUUAUGUUGAUGAACUCUUACUAAUGGAGGAUCUGGAGGUGGAAUGGAGAAGAACAGACUCAAAGGCUCUGGUUCAUCUGUAUCAAGAUGGUGAGAGUCGAGCAGAGGCCCAGCAGCAGGAUUAUCGUGAUAGAGCUCAUUUCUUUACUGACCAGAUUCAACAUGGAAACUUCUCCCUCUGUCUGGACAAUCUGAGAGCUGAAGAUGAGGGACGAUACACAUGUAGAGUUUACAGUCAGCAAGAUUCUGGUGAGACUGUGGUUCAAAUAAAACAUGAGUGUUUGAUAGUAUCAGGAUCAGAUCGGUCUGUUUCUGCAUAUGAUGGUGAGGACGUCACUCUGAACUGCUCUGUAGACUCUCACAUGAAAUCUGAACACAUUGAAAAGGUUUCAUGGAUAAGGACAGAUGAAAAUAUUCUGGUUCUGCUCUUCCAAAACAAAAAGGCUUUACCAGAUUCAUCAGACGAGCGAUACAGAGACAGAGUUGAGUUCUUCACUGCUGAAAUACUCAAAGGAAACUUCUCUCUCAGACUGAAGAGUGUCAGAACUGAGGAUAAAGGAGUUUACAUUUGUCAAGUGUUUGCUGGAGGACUUUCAGCCAGUGCAACUGUGGUACUGGAGAGACUGGGUUUCUCUUUUUGGCACAUAGCUGUGUUAUUUUUCUGUUUUGCUGCUACAUCUGGAGCUGUGCUUCUGCUCUACUCUCUGAACUACUACAGAUCAAAAAACACUGUCACCAGCAACAAAAUCUGGAAUAUUCAGGUUUCUCUGGUCUUUUAUCCAAACAUCUGUAUGUUCUUUGCCUUCAUGUUUUGGGGCCUUUCUGAAGGAUCUCUGCAUGAGACUGUCACCUGCUGUGCUCUUUAUAUUCUGAGACCUGUAAUGUUGAUUUGGGCUUCGCACUAUUUAAAGUAUCUUCAAGACAACCUUAAAUCAUGGAUCAGGUUUUUCAGAAUAACAAGAGAAUUUGCUGCUUUUACGGUCGUUGUUUAUUCAGUUCUUUUUACAUAUGUCUGGAGAAAGAGAGCACAUGAUACAGACACCAAACCUCGCAUAUUUUCUGCAGGAUUAUUUGGAAUUGUUGUGCUGAUUUGUCUCAUCUUGAGUAUAGUUGACUUCUCAAGGCGCCCCAGUCAAAAGCGACCAAGUGGGGUUUCCCCAUGCAACCAAACUCUAGGUUGUAGACUCUUUAUAUUUUGUCUGAUUAUUUCUAUCCUGUCUGAUUGUCAGCUUUUCCAGUUCAUCAUCUUAUUUAUCCCCUCUGAAGAAAUUUUUGUUGUGGUAGUUGUUCAGCCAUUACUGCUUAUUUGUAUACCAUUUUUACCUCUUCUGCAAGCAAAAUUCAACUUUCUCCGCCAUAGAUGGAUAACAUUAUUGUGGAUAAUCACAAUAACAGUCCUGGAAAUCAUUCUAUUGAUUUAUGUUCUUCUAGCCAUAUUGGCAAGAGAGAAAGAGUACUUGGAAUGGACCUGUGUCAUUUUAUUUAUAGAAGUUCUGAAGAUGAUAGUGGUCUUUAAAGAAAAUGUGCAAGAGGCAGAACAUUCAGUAGUUGAGAGAAGACGACAACAGACUGAGACAAGCCAACAAGGAUCAAAUGCAUUGUCUCUCUGUAAUGAAAUCAUGUUCAUGUGUGGAGCAGUUGGACUUGUUUUGUUGAACUCUGUUGCACUGACAGCAGAACUGAUCCUGAAAGCACGGAAUGGUGAGCGUGUCAUGAAGGAUCUAAGAGUCGUUGUCUUCCCUUCUGAAUGUGUUUUUGCUUUGUAUUGGCUGGUUUUACAAAUGCAUGCUUUCUGGAGGAUUGUUACAUCUGGGUCCGGCGUCUGGGACCACUUUGGUUUCCCUGUGUUAUGAGGGUGAUGGCAAGAGAGUGGUGGAUAAAAAAACAACGGUAUGUCGCAUCUGCUACAUGACAAUAAGCUACAUCAGAGGCAAUACUUCAAACAUGUCAACUCAUUUACGCCAACAUCACCCCAGUGUGUCAAUAACUGGAACUAGAUAAAAACUAGAAACACACAUGCUACAAACUAUCCCCGCAGCAUUCAGGCAGACAUUUCCAAAAGAUUAAAACAGGGUAAAACAAAUCACCGAGGCGAUCGGUACAUUUAUAGCCGUGGAUCUGAGACCUUACUCUGUAGUGGAAAAUGCAGGUUUUAAGAACAUGCUCAACGUAAUUGAGCCCCGUUACACUAUUCCUUCACAAGCCCAUUUCAGCCAGACUGUAAUUCCUGCUUUGUACAAAAAAAAACAAAAGCCCAAAUAGAAAACCAGCGGUUGCUCUGACAACAGACAGCUGGAUGUCAAGGGCUACACAAAGCUACCUGAUUGUAACAGCACAUUACAUUACCGCUGAAUGGGAGAUGAAAAUCCAUGUUCUUCAGACAUGCCCCCUUGAGAGUCACACGAGUGAGGAUUUGGCCAAAGGGAUGACAGAAGCAGUGGAAAUGUGGAAGCUGGAACGAGCUAAUGUACCUAUUCCUGUGACUACUGACAAUGCCAGGAAUAGUUAACGCUGUUGAAACUGCUGGACUUUGAAAAAAGGUGCUUUGCCCAAGUCAUUAAUCUAGCAUCUCAGAAAGCAAUGGCAGUGCAGCAGAUCUCUCGCCUCCUAGCAAAGAUCAGAAAGAUUGUGAAGCACAACAGCGGCCCAUGUGUUGAAGACAAAACAGAAGUUGCUGCAGCUUCCUAAUCACAAUCUCAUCCAAGAUAUACAAACUAGAUGGAAUUCAAGCUACGAUAUUACUGAAAGAUGUCUUGAGCAGCUAGACAGAUAAAGCUGUGAAGAGAAAUGUUAAAGACAUUGUGACUUUGUCUAAACUGGCUGAGAAUGUCAUCACAGUUUUGAAACCCCUGAAAACUGUGACAACCCUUAUGUGCACCGAGUCCUGUCCAUCUGCGUCCAUGGUCUUGCCUAUGAAAAUGAUGAUCCUGAAAUCCAUGGUACUGUCCGAUGAUGACAGUCCAGCAGUGAGGGAUGUCAAAACAGCUAUCAGAAAUUACCUGCAGCAGAGAUACACAGAACCUGGUGUUCAAGAUUACCUACACAAGAGCACCACUUUGGAUCCACGAUUCAAGUCACUGCUACACUUGGAUUCUACCACUCGCCUGAGAGUCUAUGAUCUUCUUACCACAGAGAUUGUGAGCACUGAACAACAGAACACAGAAUCAUGAAAUGGAGAAUCUGACUGAUCCUGAUGUUUCACAGACACAGAUAUGAGAAACUGACUCAACUACAUUCAUCCUGUACUCUGACUGCUCUUUCUGUCUGCAAAAGAAGAGUUCCUCUGGAGUAAAAACCCCAACAAACUGAGACUGAAAACUAAAUUGUAAAGCAGAUGUUCUGGUGACUUUCUGUUACAAAUAACUUGAAUAAUUUUGUAUUGGUUGCCAAAUAAUUUCAAAAGUAAAACAUGAUGUAUUUUUGUGGCAGUAUAAGGUUUCUUCUAAUAAUAAUAAAAAAAAAUAAAUAAAUAAAUAUAUAUAUAUAUAUAUAUAUAUAUAUAUAUAUAAAUUUUCCAUAAACAAAUUGGGGUACAGCUCUGUACAGCUUAUGUACAGAGCCUUGCAAAAAUAUUUAUACCCACUGAACUUUUCCACAUUUUGUCACAUAACCACAAACAAAAAUGUAUUUUAUUGGGAUUUUAUGUGAUAGACCAACACAAAGUGACAAAUAAUUGUGAAUUGGACUGAAAAUGAUAAAUGGUGUCCAAAAUAUUUUUACAAAUAAAUAUCUGAAAAGUGUGAAACGUAUCACAAGAAAAAAAAAAAAAAAACAGCUGUGGAUUAUCCAGGUAACAACAUAGUAUUAAGAAUCCAACGUAUGUAAACUUUUGAACAUGGCCGUUUUUAUAAAUUCAACUAAUAUUAUCUCUUGUAGACUAUAUGUAAACGUCUUUUCAUGUGAAAUAUCUUAUUCAGGUCAAUACUAAAUAAAAAACAACAACAUGCA